CGCUGACAGCACCUAGCCGCGGGGCGAGGCGCGCGCUGACAGGAGGCAGGAGCGCGCGGCCGCUCACUAAUGACACGCGCUGUGCCUCCCUCACUCCGCGCCGCUUCCUCGGCGAACGCGCAGCUCCAACCACGACAAAACUGACGGAGUGACGAAAAGUUUUGCCAGACAGAGAAAGAAACUUUCUGUAACAAGGUGACAGCACUCGAGGCAGGCAGCUGUCCAGUCUGCGGACCGUCUCCAGAGAGAGAAAGGGAGGACAGGAAAUAGAGAGGAAAGACACACAGAGCGCGCGCGAGAGAGAGAAAGGAGGAAAACGGAGUACCCAGAGGAAACCCCUGAAGCACGGGGAGAGCAUGCAAACUCCACACACACAGGGUGAAGGCGGAAAUCGAACCCCCAACCCUGGACGUGCGAGGCAAACGUGUUAAUCACGAAGCCACUGUGAUGUAGAACAUUCACUGUAUGGUCAUGUGUGCCUGGAUGAUGUCCAUAGACAACCACUCCCAUUUGAGGAAACCUAAAACCUAAACAAUACUAGUCUGCCAUCACUUUAUUGGUUUGACCCGGACUGGGUCGUAACAUCAGAGUCUCUCAGGCAGAACAGACACAACAUGCCAAAGCAGCCAUUUACCUAACAGAAAAAUGACUUUCAAAAGCCACCACUGCGCCCUGGCUCUCCUUUAAAGCCACAUUUGACAAGGAUCUCAUUUGAUGCUCAAUAUUGCCGUCAUCAAACAGUCAGCCAUCUCAGCCAACCUGUUCAUCAUAGCAGCAUCACUUUUGCACUGCAGUUCGAUUACGGCCCUUGAGGACAUUUUGCUCCUAUAGAUACUACACAGGAAGUGCGAAGAAUGGAGAUCUUUGGAGCUUCUUUUUCUGUUGAUUAAAAUGAGAAUUUAUGCAAGGAUUUGUGUAUAAACUUUAAUGCACAUAGGACACAUGUCUGUUCAUUACUGAGAGUCUCACAAUAAAAUGUACUAUAUUAACAGUUCAGUGCAACAAUGAUAAAGUUGUAUGAAAA
ensembl:lncRNA